CCAAUAGCGUAUAUUAAAGUUGUUGCAGUUAAAAAGCUCGUAGUUGAAUUUCGGGAUCAGUUGGUCGGUCGUGCCUCGGUACGUACUGGUCAAAUUGAUUCCUACCUUCUGACGAACCACGAUGUCAUUAAUUUGGUGUCGCGGGAAAUCAGGACUGUUACUUUGAAAAAAUUAGAGUGUUUAAAGCAGGCUCGCGCUUG
rnacentral:rRNA from 1 species